GACGAACGCUGGCGGCGUGCUUAAUACAUGCAAGUCGAACGGAAAGGCCCUGCUUUUGCGGGGUGCUCGAGUGGCGAACGGGUGAGUAACACGUGAGUAACCUGCCCUUGUCUUUGGGAUAACUUCAGGAAACUGCGGCUAAUACCGGAUAGGAGCUCCUGCUCCAUGGUGGGGGUUGGAAAGUUUCGGCGGUUGGGGAUGGUCUCGCAGCUUCUGAGCUUGUUGGUGGGGUAGUGGCUUACCAAGGCUUUGACGGGUAGCCGGCCUGAGAGGGUGACCGGCCACAUUGGGACUGAGAUAUGGCCCAGACUCCUACGGGAGGCAGCGGUGGGGAAUAUUGCACAAUGGGCGGAAGCCUGAUGCAGCAACGCCGCGUGCGGGAUGACGGCCUUCGGGUUGUAAACCGCUUUCGCCUGUGACGAAGCGUGAGUGACGGUAAUGGGUAAAGAAGCACCGGCUAACUACGUG
rnacentral:rRNA from 1 species